GCGCCCGUAGCUCAACUGGACAGAGCGUCGGUUUCCGGAACCGAAGGCUGUGGGUUCAAGUCCCUCCGGGCGUACCA
rnacentral:tRNA from 1 species